GACAGCAGCAGCCACGGUAAUACGGAGGGUGCAAGCGUUAUCCGGAUUUAUUGGGUUUAAAGGGUCCGUAGGCGGAUCUGUAAGUCAGUGGUGAAAUCUCACAGCUUAACUGUGAAACUGCCAUUGAUACUGCAGGUCUUGAGUAAAUUUGAAGUGGCUGGAAUAAGUAGUGUAGCGGUGAAAUGCAUAGAUAUUACUUAGAACACCAAUUGCGAAGGCAGGUCACUAAGAUUUAACUGACGCUGAUGGACGAAAGCGUGGGGAGCGAACAGGAUUAGAUACCCGGGUAGUCCCUGUCUCUUAUAC
rnacentral:rRNA from 1 species